rnacentral:rRNA from 1 species
GGGAGGCAGCAGUGGGGAAUAUUGCGCAAUGGGCGAAAGCCUGACGCAGCGACGCCGCGUGGGGGAUGAAGGCCUUCGGGUUGUAAACCUCUUUCAGCGCCGAAGAAGCGAAAGUGACGGUAGGCGCAGAAGAAGCACCGGCUAACUACGUGCCAGCAGCCGCGGUAAUACGUAGGGUGCAAGCGUUGUCCGGAAUUAUUGGGCGUAAAGAGCUCGUAGGCGGUCUGUCGCGUCUGCUGUGAAAACUCGGGGCUUAACCCCGGGCUUGCAGUGGGUACGGGCAGACUAGAGUGCGGUAGGGGAGACUGGAAUUCCUGGUGUAGCGGUGAAAUGCGCAGAUAUCAGGAGGAACACCGGUGGCGAAGGCGGGUCUCUGGGCCGUAACUGACGCUGAGGAGCGAAAGCGUGGGGAGCGAACAGGAUUAGAUACCCUUGU